GUUUACAGCCUGAUUGUAGAGACACGCUAACAGAAGAACACUGUUCAGAACUCUUUGUAAGCAUCAUGACAACCAAUUCAAAACGGAUGUGCAAGACAAGUAUGGAGGAGACGCAUGGUAAAGAUGAGGAAGAGGUCUCUCUGAGAAGAUGCUCCGAAUUUUGGAGGAGGUGAUAGGUUUUGGAAUUUGUGACCUGCCUUUUGGAAUGACACCUUUCUCUGGGACUUCUGCAGAAUCUUUUGACACUGUGUACCUGGCUUGAAAUGUGUACCUGGUCUACAAGUUGCUUGGGGUGGUCUAAAAUGCAUGCUGCUUUUGUGUGAUGUGUGGUUAUGAUUUGGAGUUUGCAGUGACUGGAACAUUGCUGUCAGUCUCAGCUGAUGCUUUCUUCCUAUGAAGAGCAGAUUUCUCAACCUUGACCCUGGUGACACAUUGGACCAGAUUAUGUUUUACUGUGCGUCGCUGUCCUGUGCAUUGUAGGCUAGUUAGCAUCCUCCCUGACCUUUGCCCACUGGAUGCCAGUGACAGUCCCCCAGUUGUGACACUCAGAAUAUCUCCAAAUGCUGCCAUAUGUCCUUGGGGGCAAAAUCCAUCCCAGCUAAUUGAGAACCAUUGAUAUCAAGCUCUAUGUGUUGCUCUGGCUUUAUGGAUAGUUGCAGAACAUUUCACAUGUGUUUUCUGUUUGCAGCACCUAUUAACAUAAAUAUUCUUAUUUGGAAUUCUGGCAACGGCCUGGCAGGGAAGAUUAAUGGAGGUAAAAAAAAGCAAAAACAUCCUCCUGUGAUAUUGCAAGGUACUGAAUUACAUGCUAUUUGGGUGCCAAUACAGGAGGCAGUGAUAAACGGAAUAACCUUCAGUUAAACGGUGUAUUCCCCGAGGACGCCAACUUCCUGUUUUAUAGUGUUUUUCACUGUAGCUUAUCCUUCUGGAUCAGUUAAUUGUGUGUUUCUUUUUAUCUUUCACUGAUAUCACCCAGUGUUGACUCCAUAGUAUUUCAUUUUUUUAUUCUUAUAAUCAAUAAAGCUUUGCUACUCAUUUGUCA